UGCCAGCAGCCGCGGUAAUACGGAGGGUGCAAGCGUUGCUCGGAAUCACUGGGCGUAAAGCGUACGCAGGCGGUUUGUCAGGUCGGGUGUGAAAUCCCGGGGCUCAACCCCGGAACUGCAUCCGAAACCGGCAGACUUGAGUACGGAAGAGGGGAGUGGAAUUCCUGGUGUAGAGGUGAAAUUCGUAGAUAUCAGGAGGAACACCAGUGGCGAAAGCGACUCCCUGGUCCGAUACUGACGCUCAUGUACGAAAGCGUGGGGAGCAAACAGGAUUAGAUA
rnacentral:rRNA from 1 species